AAGGACCGUCCUUUAAUUCCCCCUCUCCACUCCUCUUACUGCCCCCUCCUCUCCCUCCAUCCAGAUCUACGUGAAACACACCGCCACCACCAUCUUCGUCGUCUUCACCUAGGCCAAAUAGACCUGCCUGGGAUGUCAUCGUGGCACCCAUGCGCCGACACCGCCCAUCGGUUGUCCUUUCUCGCCCCGGCCAGUGGUGCCACCACUGCCUUGCAUCACCGCCCGCCGUCUAUCUCCACCACCGAGCCGGCCAACCACCUCCCCCACGCUCCUUCUAGGGCCGACAGUGCUGGUAAGCCUAACCUCAAACUUGCCCCAAAGCUUGACGCUAGAGCAUCGCCACCAACCAAUUUCUUGUUCCUUCGAUUGCGGAUGCUAUUUCCUUCAAUUCUUCUCUUCUUUCUUUUUUUUGGUAGUCUUUACUUCAGACCCAUUCGUCCUUUCCCAAUCAAGAGGGCUCUCGAAAUACACUAAAUCCAGAGCCCUCUCGUUUCAGAUUUUGCGUUUAUUUAAAUGGCAUGAAAUCGCAUUUUAGGGAAAUUUCUAAGGUGGGAUAAGAAAUAGGACGUCAAAAGUUGGAAUUCGAAUGAAAACUAUUUUGGUGUUUCCCUGAUCAUUUUUGUUUUUCCUUUAGGCAGCCCAAGCCAGCCAGCCAAACAUCCCACUUGUGUAUAGCGCACUUAUGUGAGUUUGUAAACACGAAGUUAUCAACGCUUCUAGGGUUAUAAGUGUAAUAAUUGUGGGAGACAAGGAGCUGAAGAAGAAUUUAUUGCCCCCAAUAUGUUCUAGUAUACGUUAUCGACUCAUUAAGAGCAUGAUUAAUGGUUGCGCCUGCAUGCCGGCGUCUCAAGCUCCAGCUCAAUCGAGUUGCCAAGCUUGUGAUGGCGGCCUCCACCUUUAUUUAAUGAUGUUUAUGGUCCAGCAGCUUGCCACAACCAAUGAGAGGCAACUGCAGAGCAAAUCGUCUGCUUUCAACCGGCGUUUGGCGAGAUGCUCCCUCCUUCUCUCUUCAUUCUCUCACUAUCAGCAAUGCUUUUUUUCCUACUUGUCCAGCAAGUCGCCUGCUGAUGUAGACUUAUAAUACUUGUUCUAAGGAGGUGAACUGUAAGAGCUUUUUACCUAUAUUAACUAUAUCAACGUGUUAUGAAGUUACAAAUGUUGUCCUCUCUC